GACGAACGCUGGCGGCGUGCUUAACACAUGCAAGUCGAACGGAGUGGCGAACGGGUGAGUAACCCGUGGGUGAUCUGCCUUGCACUUCGGGAUCAGCUUGGGAAAAUAGGUCUAAUACCGGAUAGUUCACGAUGAUCUCGCGGACUAUCAGCUUGUUGGUGGGGUAAUGGCCUACCACGGCGUCGACGGGUAGCCGGCCUGAGAGGGUGUACGGCAACGUUGGGACUGAGAUACGGGCCAGACGCCUACGGGAGGCAGCAGUGGGGAAUAUUGCACAAUGGGCGGAAGCCUUAUUCAGAGACGCCGCGUGGGGGAUGAAGGCCUUCGGGUUGUAAACUCCUUUCGACAGGGACGCGGUACCUGGAUAAGAAGCACCGGCUAACUACGUGCCAGCAGCCGCGGUAAUAC
rnacentral:rRNA from 1 species